AAAGUCGUAACAAAGGUCUCCGUUGGUGAACCAGCGGAGGGAUCAUUA
rnacentral:rRNA from 1 species